UGGGGGAUAUUGCACAAUGGGCGAAAGCCUGAUGCAGCGACGCCGCGUGGGGGAUGAAGGCCUUCGGGUUGUAAACUUCUUUUGCUCUGAACAAGGCGCACCAUGGGGUGUGUUGAGUGUAGGGGUUGAUUAGCGCCGGCUAACUACGUGCCAGCAGCCGCGGUAAUACGUAGGGCGCGAGCGUUGUCCGGAAUUAUUGGGCGUAAAGGGCUUGUAGGUGGCUGGUUGCGUCUGUCGUGAAAGCUCAUGGCUUAACUGUGGGUUUGCGGUGGGUACGGGCUGGCUUGAGUGCAGUAGGGGAGGCUGGAAUUCCUGGUGUAGCGGUGGAAUGCGCAGAUAUCAGGGGGAAUACCGGUGGCGAAGGCGGGUCUCUGGGCUGUUACUGACACUGAGGAGCGAAAGCAUGGGGAGCGAACAGG
rnacentral:rRNA from 1 species